rnacentral:lncRNA from 1 species
UCUUUUCAUUUGAAUUUUCAAAUUUAAUGUCAACUAAAUAAAAAUAAAAAAAGGCUUUGGUAAAAGAAUAAUUUUAUGUGGAUAGCUAAUUUUUUUGACAGAUGUACAUUCUAAAUAAAUGCUAUAAAUCUACUAAUCAAUUCAAAAUUUUUAUUCUAAUAUUAGAAGAUUAAAUCUACCACAUUUAAUUAUUACUUAAAAACAAAGUAAUGUUAGGUACUUAAAACCAUCAAGCUUCUUUGAAUUGUUUUAAUGAUCUUUUCCCCGCCAAUUUUUUUGUACCUUUUGUUCACAUAAGUGAAUCCUAAAAUUCAAGUAAACAAAAUCCAAUUUUUCCAAGACAUGGGAUAACAUGACUUGUUUGGUCUUUUUUUUUUUGGGAAAUAAUCUUUAACCAAAUUUUAAACUCCCUUAAAUAGAUAAAAUGAUCUUAAUUAUAAUUGUCAUAAUAUAUGGGUUUGAGAAUCUGACUAUUUGACAUAAAGAGACCACUACAAAAAAAUGAUCGUUUUUGUCUGAAAUGACCAAUUUUUCGUUGAAAAUUGAACGUUUCAAUAGAUUUUUGACAAAAUAUUUCAUCAAAACAUCCUUUAUCCUUACUUUCGUUGGUAUACUUAUUCGUUGGAAAAUUUAAAAUUUUGUCAAAAAAUUUUCCAACAAAAAUAUCCUUUGAGAAACUUGUGAAAAUAAAAGGAAUUCUUAUCGAAAAUUUUAUCCCAAAGUUGUUGAAAAAACAAAAGUUCAUC